GUUAAUUUAGUGACUUCACGUAACAGUUUGGAUGUUAUUAUAAAGAUUAUCUUUAAUUAAUA
rnacentral:tRNA from 1 species